AAAAUAUAAAAUAAAAUAAAAUACAAAACAGUUGUAGUUACUGACAGUGACCACUGGAGGGCAAUGAUCGUGUCCCGACAUCGUGUAGUUCAUCAUUUCACCGCUAGAUGGAGACGACUCUCCAUUACACGUAAUUUUAAUGCCGAAGAAGACGAAACCGGAAGUAAUGAACAGGUGUCGGUUAAUUAACCUGAUUUAUGUUAAGUUAGCAACGUAACUUCGGUCUCAAGUUAACGUUGUUUUUCCUAAAAUGAACUCGCGACUCUAUGAAGAGGGAAAUAAAUAAAUGAAUGUAGAUAUCGAGAGUUAUGUCCAGGUGGAGAACAUGCUGAUGGAUCAGAAUAACCAGAGCAGCCUCAGGACGACACCACAGACAUUAACCUGGACGGGAGGAUCUGAGCGGAGAGAUUCAGGUGGAGAAAUCCCUCCUGAGAAAAACUAAAUGUUAACCAGAAAUCCUGAUGAACAACACUAAACACAUAAAGAUGAACUGUACAGUGAAGAAGAACCUUAGAAACCAGGUCCCUGCUCUUCUCCAGUGUAAAAGCUCCUCCUCAUUACCUGGGGUCCACGUUGGCUGUGGCCUCGUCGAUGAUGAGGAUGCGGUUCUUCCUGAGGAUGGCUCUGGCCAGACACACCAGCUGCCUCUGUCCCACGCUGAAGUUGGAGCCG